UGGGGUAUAUUGCACAAUGGGCGAAAGCCUGAUGCAGCGACGCCGCGUGGGGGAUGAAGGCCUUCGGGUUGUAAACUUCUUUUGCUCUGAACAAGUCAUGCUAAUGGGUGUGUUGAGUGUAGGGGUUGAUUAGCGCCGGCUAACUACGUGCCAGCAGCCGCGGUAAUACGUAGGGCGCGAGCGUUGUCCGGAAUUAUUGGGCGUAAAGGGCUUGUAGGUGGCUGGUUGCGUCUGUCGUGAAAGAUAAUGGCUUAACUGUGGGUUUGCGGUGGGUACGGGCUGGCUUGAGUGCAGUAGGGGAGGCGGGAAUUCCUGGUGUAGCGGUGGAAUGCGCAGAUAUCAGGAGGAAUACCGGUGGCGAAGGCGGGUCUCUGGGCUGUUACUGACACUGAGGAACGAAAGCAUGGGGAGCGAGCAGG
rnacentral:rRNA from 1 species